UCUGGAGGUUUGGCGCCCUCUGUAAUCUCAGCUUCUGGGAGGUUUGUUUGUGGGUUGAUUUGAGAUUGGGAGUCCUGUUUUCUGAUCAGGCAUGUGGACGGUUUGUCCGUGGUAAGCUUGUCAUCAAUACAUAGAUUUUUAUGCGGAAGCAUUGGAGAUCUAGGUUGAUAAUGAGAGAGGCACCGGGCUAGAAUCGAAAGAGAGCAGCCAAAACUUUCCGUGGCAAUGCAGUACUGCGGAUAGCAGACCAGAGUGAAUCUGCCAGUAACAGCCCAAUCAAUAUAAUUAUACCAUAAACUUU
rnacentral:SRP_RNA from 1 species